rnacentral:ncRNA from 1 species
AAUCUCUCUGGAGAGUCCCGCAAGGGCGCCGAAGGUGUAAGGCAGGUUUUCUGCCGAUCUCUCAGGCAAAAGGACAGGGU